UGGAAAGCUGUCGCCGACGCCGAGAUCUGAGAGUUCGCGAUGAACGAUAAAGGGUUGCCGGCGCCGAGAGUUCAAGAGUUCAACACUUGAGGCUUGAGAGAUCUCAGAUCUGAGACUCUGAGACUGAGAGUUCGAGAAGACGACGAGACAGUCGAGACUUGAGUCUUGAGAUGAGAGAGAUCAGAGAUCUGAUCUGAGGUGAGGACUGAGAGAGUACUGAGGUCUGAGAGUCUAAGGUAAAGAGUAACUGAGUAAGAACGAGAAAGAGAACUGGAGUGGAGAAGGAGUGAAGGACCGAGCACUCACUGCAGUAGUCUAAAUUAAAUGGUCGGCUGAGACU
rnacentral:lncRNA from 1 species